rnacentral:lncRNA from 1 species
UUUUUUUGUUUUGUUUUGUGUUUCACCUAGUUCACCCACUGAGAAUGCUGACUUUUGGAUGUCCAAGUUUUUUUCAGAAGUCCAACCUCCCAUCUGGUGUGUGCUGAGGAUUUUUGUUCUAUCCCCAUUUGUUAAGGCCCAUCAAGUCCAAAUUCUAAGCCAGUAGAUGUUAGCCAGCAUUGGUCCAGUGCAUGCUUCUCUGCAUGCAUGUUUUCUAGUGACUUUUGUACCAGCAGGAUUUCUCAGGUCACACAGUCCUCCACACUGACAGAAACAGAGGUCCUCUGUUGUCAUCCAUCCUCUGGAUGUCAUUGUGUGACAUUCCUCUGGAUGUCUUCCCUAAGCUACAUUUUUCAGGCUUAAUUUGGUGCUCCAACUUUCCCAAGAUUAAUUAGCCCAGGGGUAAGAAAAAUAACGACUAUUAAAAGAAAGAGGAAAUACAAUAGAAUCCAGUGAAAUAGGAAGGUGAUUUAUGAACUCUAAAGUCAGGAUAUUAGAAGUCCAGACUUAUAUUUUUAACUCAAUCCUCCUUGGCAGUGGGGCUUUUAAGAAGUUAUCCCAGAACCAGUUGCUACAAACUUUGGUGGAGUUUGAGAAAGCAUUUUUUCCCCUCUAGCCCUGUGAAGGGAGCCACUCCCAGGGGUUGUCAGCAGGGCAAUUGUGUAGCAAGAACCAAAUUACUUCUUUCAUUCUUAAGAACCUCCUCCCAAUUUUCCAGUGGGAAAACUGAGUUCUGAUUAGUUCUAAGGACAAGUCGGGAGGUUUUAAAGAUUUAAAAAAAAAUUGAGAUAGUACACGUGAGCGGAGAUUGGGGGGUGGGGACAGAAGGAGAGGGAGAAGGGGACUCCUUGCUGACAAGGAGAGAGAGUCUGACACAGAUCCUAGGACCCUCAGGUCAGGACCUGAGCCAAAGGCAGAUGCUUAACCGACUGAGCCACCCAGGAACCCCAGGUCAGGAGGUUUUAAACGUGUCAUCUUUCUUACUGGAUAUAGUCCUCUUCUUCCUGGACACUCUGAAGAUAUUAGCAAAGAUUUGGGUGCUCAGCUUAAGAUGCCUAACCUUAUCUAAUUCAUUUAAUGAAUGGCUCUUGAUUGUUUUCAGAAUCCAUGGAAAUAAUCACAUUUCUUAUUAACAUUCAUUUGCUGGUCAAGAAAUCAUCACUUAAAUGUGAAUCACUGCCAACCACUCUACUCUUUCAGGGACCAAAGAAAUAAAUGAGUGUGACAAGGAAAAAAGUCAGUUGGAUAAAAAUAUAGCAGAGUAACAAAAAAGCCAGCGUGAAUGUAAAGAAAGGUCAGGGGUGAGUGUGGGAGCUUAGCGCCUGCCGACCAUCCAUGGGUGGAUGGCAAUUUGCACCCCUUGGCUCGUAUUAUCCAUACAGAAGCCCAGGGAAGUGGGUGGUAUUAUUUCCAUGUUAUAGAUGAAGCCUCAGGCUUGGAGAGGUAAAAUAACUUUAAUAUCAUUAACAGAGGGAAAGGGCAGCCCGGAUGGCUCAGUGGUUUAGCGCCGCCUUCAGCCCAGGGUGUGAUCCUGGAGCCCAGGAUUAAGUCGCGUUGGGCUCCCUGCAUGGAGCCUGCUCCUCCCUCUGCCUAUGUCUCUGCCCCUCUCUCUCUCUCUCUCUCUGUGUUUCUCAUGAAUAAAUAAAUAAAAUAUACAUAUUAAAAAAAAAACAGAGGGAAAAUGUGGCAUCCUCUUGUUUCUCUGACAGCAGAGCAUAUUUUUUUUCCACCACAUUAUACCAUCUCUUAAGUGUUCAGUACCUUUUCCCACUAUAAUAAGAUUCUAGUGUUCCUGACCUGAAUGCAACACAGAUAUAGGAAGAAAGGAUCAUUGGGGACACCAAAUAUUCCAAAUGAUUGCCACUAGCAAUUUGUCUUUUUGUCUGUUGGUUCGAGUGCUGUCUGGAAGCUCAGAUGUAGAAAGACACAAGCAAUAUUUUAUGGAGGGCUUCCUUUCAGUCCCUUUGAUGGUAGUGUAUUGUAAACUCUAUUGAGAUCAAAUCUCCUUUGGGAGCUAAUUACAAUAAGACAUCUCUUUAUUUGGUAUAGUCAAGCUUUUCCUUACUAAGUCCACAGGACUAUGAAGGACAGCGGGACGUAACAAAGCAUCAGCAUCUGCUUCCUUAACAAUUUCUUCUUUAAUAAAGUCACGCAUGCCAAAUAUGUUUGUCUCAUUAUCACUCUCGAUACAGUAUGAUAUCAGUUUACCCAGGAAAGACUUUCAGCAUCCGGAAACCACAGAGGAAAUGAUGUCGUGGCACACACACGAUAUCUGAACAGCCACAAAGCAGAACAGCAGUUGAUAAAUGUGAUGAUUACUCAGUCCUCCACCAUGAGGAAGCAAUAUCAUUUGUUUGCUUUAUGUCAGCCACUCUAGAGAACCAUAACCACCCAAGAGGCAAUCCAAUGAUGGUCCUGUGACCACGGACAGAUCACGGCCAUGGCGCACCAUUAUCCUCUUGCACCUGAUUCAUCAUUCACAGCAUUUGCUCCGAUUCAGAAACAAACAGAACCAUUAUGGCGGUUAGCACUGAGGUGGUGGUUGUAAAAAAUUUAAUAAAUUCUGUGUUUUCAUUUUACACAUUGGUCUGGUUUUCAGGGGAAUGUGUGCUGGUGGGGAAAUAGUUUGCUUGUUGGAGGCAGAUGCGUGUUUGCUCUGAGGCAAGAGAUAAAGAGAAGUAUUUUAGGAAGGAGUCUGUAUGACUAGCAGUGGGGGAGAUAAUAUCGAUAAGUAUGAGCAGGGUCACUGAUAACUUUGUGGGCAAGUGACCCUUUGGAUAUGCCAAGAGAUUUUAUCAGCCAGAAAGACUGAGUCAUGUAUAUAUAAUUUUGGCUUGAAUUCAUUGGCUAUAGGGUGGAGGGUAGGGGUGGUGAUACAUAGAAACCAAAAGAGAGAGACGUGAACCCAGUUGAGAGUUUGGCCUGAGCCCCUUUCAGACACAUGCAUUUUCCCAGCUGACUUUUUGCACCCAGUGGCUCAUAAUCACAAUCACAUGUUAUCAACUUGCCUCAUAGACCCAUUUUUUCAGCCUAGAUCGUCAUGGCAGUGUCACAUCUCAAUACAGUGGCCAGAAAAGUGGUUCUUGCCCCUGGUUUGCUUAACCUGAGUAUCAUGGGGAACACUGUCUUCUGAAUUCUAGCUGUGUGAUCUGUGUUCCUAUUUAUAACCAUGUUUUAUCUUUCAGACCUGACACAACUAGUCUGAUUUGGACAUUUUGCUCCUGUUCACAAUGAAGAUUUUCCUUUAGACCUAAGCCCCAAGGUCAGCCCUGUGGUCAAACACACACCUUGUGUAGCUUAGUCCUUGAAUCAACCAUUAUACUGUGUAUGUAGUAAAGUUGAAUAAUGGUCUCCCAAUGAUACCACGCCCCAAUGCCUGGAAUUUACAAACAUCACCUUAUUGCCUUAUUUGGAAAAAAAAAAAAAAAAGGAAUCAUUGCAGAUGUGAUUCAGUUAAGGAUUUUAAAAUGCCAAGAUGACCCUGGAUUGUCUGGGUGGGCCCCAAAUGCCAUCACAAGUGUCUUUAUAAAAGACGGGCAAGAGAAGAUAAAACCAACACUCCAAAUGGGGAGGAGGCAGUGUGAGUGGAAAAGCUGAGGAUGGAGUGAAGUGGCCACAAACCAAGGAACGUCAGGAACCACCAGAAGCUGGGAGAGGCAAGGAAAGUUCUCCCCUAGAGCUGUCAGAGGGAGUAGGGUCCUGCUAACACCUUGAUUUUGGACUGCUGGCAUCCAGAACUGGAUUCAGAGAAUGUACAGAGACCAUUUCAAGCCAUCUAGUUUGUGGUCAUCUGUAACAGAAGCCCUGGGGUACACUGUGUCUAGCUCCUCAGUUACAUUAAGAUGGAUCCUCAGAUGCUGGAAUCCUCUGUUUAGUUCAUGCACCCCUAUCUAACAACACACCUUCCACCAUUCCUCCCAAAGGCUUGCCUAAUCUUAUAAAUCCAACUGAGAUUCAGAGGUCCUAUAUAAUGGGGACAGGAAUGUUUUGAGCAGCCUCCAGACUUCUAUCAAAUAGCUGGCAUUUUAUUGAAAGUAUUUUCAUGAAGGAAUAUUCUUUUUUAAGCCUGUUUUGCACUCUUUUGGAGCUUUGCCAUUUGCAAUAAUACCCUUAAAACCAAAAUACUGUUUUCACAUCAAAUUUUUCUUUCUUCUAUUUCAGCGAUUUGUUGAUGCAGGUGACGUGAGCUGCAUGGUUCAGGGGCUGCUUUAUGGAGGUAUACAGCACGUAAAUGAAGAUGCAUAUCAUCUUAGCUAUUUUGGUUUAUUGGUGGCAGCACAUGGUUAUUUUCUGGAGACUCCCAACUCUUGACUUUCCCAAGUUUUUCCUUAAUGAAUGGAAGCAUGCUUUGUGAAUGAUCUGUAUUUCCCUAUAAUGUAAGAGUACUCAGAGACUACAAUAAGGAAAUGAUGAACAUUUGACAGGUAUUUCAGAAGAUCUCGAUCUUGUCUAAAAGCUAUGGUGAUGAGUGGCAGGAACACUUACCCAUCUUGGCUCUGCCACUAACCAGGCUGAGGACUUGAACAAAGUUUUUUUCACCUCUCUGGACUUCAACCUCUGCACUGUUAAAAACUAGGCUAAUGUGACCUACCUCAUAGCCUUGUUAAGAGAACUGGAAUGGCUUCAACUAGUUUUACCUGAAUACCCUGAAAGGCUCUCAAGUUAAAGGCUCUCAAGUUCACUAGAGUCCAAAUAUAACUCAUUGUCACCAUACAUCAAAGCUGUUCCUCCGAAUCCACACUCCCUCAGCCCCAUGCCUUCUAAGAUGUAUUCCUGACUUUUGCUCCUCUUUUAUACCCAGCCACCUUUCCCAGAGUCGAGUUAAAUUCAUGACCAAGUACUAUUACUUCUCAACUAUGCCCCUUUGCUUCUUUUAUUUUUUUGAAGAUAGCCGUAAGUCAAGACUUCAGAACCGCCUGCCUGGACCACUAAAGAGUCUCUGAGUGGGUCUCCUCAUGGGCAUCAUCUAUCACCAACAACACCAACCAUCUGAACUGUCUCUCUAGAGUUCAGAUCUGACCAUGCCUUCUCUCGGUCUAUCUUCUUCCACAGCCCCUCUGCGUUACCAGAGGAUGCACCCAAACAGUGUUCUCUGGCUUGCACAAUACAUCAUCAUUUUCAAUCUUACUGGCCGAGAUGAAAAAUGUGGAGAUUUUACAUAUACAUCUGGAUUUCUGCAUUUUCACGAAAGACGAGAGGGUCUGCAAAGCCUGGAUAACCUACAUGAGCUGAGAUGCUGUUAUGGUCUUUAGCUGUGGCUUAUUCUUUCCUGUUUUCCCUAUCCUGGUUACCUGGUCUGAUUCACUCAUUGGCCUUAUCUGCCUGGCACCUGUAGGUGGACCCAUAGGAUAAAGCCUAGACACCUGCAUGCCCCUUCCUUGGACUACUUUUACAGUCACAUCUC